rnacentral:rRNA from 1 species
GAUUCUGGCUCGAGGACGAACGCUGGCGGCGUGCCUAAUACAUGCAAGUCGAGCGAAUGAUUAGAGAAGCUUGCUUCUCUCUGAUUUAGCGGCGGACGGGUGAGUAACACGUGGGUAACCUACCCUAUAGACUGGGAUAACUUCGGGAAACCGGAGCUAAUACCGGAUAAUACUUCGAAACACAUGUUUUGAAGUUGAAAGAUGGUUUCGGCUAUCACUAUAGGAUGGACCCGCGGCGCAUUAGCUAGUUGGUGAGGUAACGGCUCACCAAGGCAACGAUGCGUAGCCGACCUGAGAGGGUGAUCGGCCACACUGGGACUGAGACACGGCCCAGACUCCUACGGGAGGCAGCAGUAGGGAAUCUUCCACAAUGGACGAAAGUCUGAUGGAGCAACGCCGCGUGAGUGAAGAAGGAUUUCGGUUCGUAAAACUCUGUUGCAAGGGAAGGACAAGUAGCGUAGUAACUGGCGUUACCUUGACGGUACCUUGUUAGAAAGCCACGGCUAACUACGUGCCAGCCGCAGC